rnacentral:rRNA from 1 species
CCUACGGGUGGCAGCAGUGAGGAAUAUUGUUCAAUGGCCGUCAGGCUGAACCAGCCAAUUCGCGUGAAGGAAGAAGGAUCUAUGGUUUGUAAACUUCUUUUAUAGGGGAAUAAAGGUAUCCACGUGUGGAUAUUUUCAUGUACCCUAUGAAUAAGCAUCGGCUAACUCCGUGCCAGCAGCCUCGGUAAUACGGAGGGUGCGAGCGUUAUCCGGAUUUCUUGGGUGUAAAGGGUGCGUAGGUUGUGUUUUAAGUCAGCGAUGAAAGGUUGUGGCGCAACAAUAAAAUUGCCGUUGAAACUGGAAGACUUGAGUGUGUUUGAGGUAGGCGGAAUGCGUGGUGUAGCGGUGAAAUGCAUAGAUAUCACGCAGAACUCCGAUUGCGAAGGCAGCUUACUAAGCCAUAACUGACACUGAAGCACGAAAGCGUGGGGAUCAAACAGGAUUAGAUACCCCUGUAGUC